rnacentral:rRNA from 1 species
UACGGGGGGUGCGAGCGUUGUCCGGAAUCACUGGGCGUAAAGGGCGCGUAGGUGGUGGCUUAAGCGUGCGGUGAAAGCUCGGGGCUCAAACUCCGAGUCGGCCGUGCGAACUGGGCUCACUGGAGCAUAGUAGAGGCAGGUGGAAUUCCGGGUGUAGCGGUGGAAUGCGUAGAGAUCCGGAAGAACACCGGUGGCGAAGGCGGCCUGCUGGGCUAUGGCUGACACUGAGGCGCGGACAGCGUGGGGAGCAAACAGG